rnacentral:tRNA from 1 species
GGUGGCUCAGUGGUAGAGUGCUUGCCUAGCAUGCAUGAGACCCUGGGUUCGAUUUCUCAGUACCA